rnacentral:rRNA from 1 species
GUCGGUGGGAUACUACCCUGGCUGUAUUGAAAUUCUAACCCGCGCCCCUGAUCGGGGCGGGAGACAGUGUCAGGUGGGCAGUUUGACUGGGGCGGUCGCCUCCUAAAAAGUAACGGAGGCGCCCAAAGGUUCCCUCAGAAUGGUUGGAAAUCAUUCGCAGAGUGUAAAGGCACAAGGGAGCUUGACUGCGAGACCUACAAGUCGAGCAGGGACGAAAGUCGGGCUUAGUGAUCCGGUGGUUCCGCAUGGAAGGGCCAUCGCUCAACGGAUAAAAGCUACCCCGGGGAUAACAGGCUUAUCUCCCCCAAGAGUCCACAUCGACGGGGAGGUUUGGCACCUCGAUGUCGGCUCAUCGCAUCCUGGGGCUGUAGUCGGUCCCAAGGGUUGGGCUGUUCGCCCAUUAAAGCGGUACGCGAGCUGGGUUCAGAACGUCGUGAGACAGUUCGGUCCCUAUCCGUCGUGGGCGCAGGAAAUUUGAGAGGAGCUGUCCUUAGUACGAGAGGACCGGGAUGGACGCACCGCUGGUGUACCAGUUGUCUUGCCAAAGGCAUCGCUGGGUAGCUAUGUGCGGAAGGGAUAAGUGCUGAAAGCAUCUAAGCAUGAAGCCCCCCUCGAGAUGAGAUUUCCCAUAGCGUCAAGCUAGUAAGAUCCCUGAAAGAUGAUCAGGUUGAUAGGUCAGAGGUGGAAGCGUGGCGACAUGUGGAGCUGACUGAUACUAAUCGAUCGAGGACUUAACCAAA